rnacentral:misc_RNA from 1 species
UUUCCGUAGGUGAACCUGCGGAAGGAUCAUUACAGUGUUCCCUGCCCUUCGGGGUCGGAUCGCCACCCUUGAUUAUUUAUGAGUGUUGCUUUGGCUGGCCUCGCGGCCUGGCCGCGCCCCGGCUUCGGCGGGGGAGCGCCCGCCAGAGGAUUCUACAAACCUGAUUAUUAGUGUCGUCUGAGUACUAUAUAAUAGUUAAAACUUUCAACAACGGAUCUCUUGGUUCUG